GUCCACGCCGUAAACGAUGAAUACUAGGUGUAGGGGUAUCGACUCCCCUGUGCCGCAGUUAACACAUUAAGUAUUCCACCUGGGGAGUACGGCCGCAAGGUUGAAACUCAAAGGAAUUGACGGGGCCCGCACAAGCAGUGGAUUAUGUGGUUUAAUUCGAAGCAACGCGAAGAACCUUACCAGGGCUUGACAUACUCUGACAGCUCUAGAGAUAGAGUCUCCCUUCGGGGCAGAGAUACAGGUGGUGCAUGGUUGUCGU
rnacentral:rRNA from 1 species